GUCUACGAAAGUGUAAGUUAUUGGUGAGGUUAUAAGAGUUUGAUGUGCUUAUGAAA
rnacentral:sRNA from 1 species